rnacentral:rRNA from 1 species
CAGCAGCCGCGGGAAUACGAAGGGGGCUAGCGUUGCUCGGAAUGACUGGGCGUAAAGGGCGCGUAGGCGGAUUGUUUAGUUAGGCGUGAAAUUCCUGGGCUUAACCUGGGGACUGCGCUUAAUACAGGCAGUCUAGAGUGAGGAAGAGGGUUGUGGAAUUCCCAGUGUAGAGGUGAAAUUCGUAGAUAUUGGGAAGAACACCGGUGGCGAAGGCGGCGACCUGGUCCUUUACUGACGCUGAGGCGCGAAAGCGUGGGGAGCAAACAGGAUUAGAGACCCGUGUAGUCCCUGUCUCUUAUAC